rnacentral:rRNA from 1 species
CGGCUCAGUAACACGUGGAUAACCUACCCUUGAGACGGGGAUAAACCCGGGAAACUGGGUAUAAUACCCGAUAGAUCUCGACUGCUGGAAUGCAUCGAGCUUGAAAGCUCCGGCGCUCAAGGAUGGGUCUGCGGCCUAUCAGGUAGUAGUGGGUGUAGCGUACCUACUAGCCUACGACGGGUACGGGUUGUGAGAGCAAGAGCCCGGAGAUGGAUUCUGAGACACGAAUCCAGGCCCUACGGGGUGCAGCAGGCGCGAAAACUUUACAAUGCUGGAAACAGCGAUAAGGGGACCUCGAGUGCCAGGUUACAAAUCUGGCUGUCGUGAUGCCUAAAAAGCAUUGCAUAGCAAGGGCCGGGCAAGACCGGUGCCAGCCGCCGCGGUAACACCGGCGGCUCGAGUGGUAACCGUUAUUAUUGGGUCUAAAGGGUCUGUAGCCGGCCGGAUAAGUCUCUUGGGAAAUCUGGCAGCUUAACUGUCAGGCUUUCAGGAGAUACUGUCUGGCUCGAGGCCGGGAGAGGUGAGAGGUACUUCAGGGGUAGGGGUGAAAUCUUGUAAUCUUUGAAGGACCACCAGUGGCGAAGGCGUCUCACCAGAACGGACCUGACGGCAAGGGACGAAAGCUAGGGGCACGAACC